GUGAAUCAUCGAAUUUUUGAACGCAAAUUGUACUCUCUUCGGAGAGUAUGCCUGUUUGAGGGUCAGCCUAAAAAAAAACCGACAUAGUUGCUUUUUCGCGGUUACAUUCGUCGGAAAUUGGGUCAUCUUUAACCUUUUGGUUUUAAGUGGCUUAAAAUUUUUUUUACGAUUCCCCGAACGUUUUUUAUUUUUUCUUCUUAUUCGUUUAAG
rnacentral:misc_RNA from 1 species